GAAAGCCUUCCCCAGGUCUUUCUGUCCUGCAGAGAGUACUUUCAUGCCAACCAGAAGGAUGGGACCCCACUCAUGUCCUGCCACGUGCCACAGUGUGGCGAUAAAAAAUGUGAUUUGGGUUUUACGUGCAUUCCAUUGUGUUUGGAUACGUUACCAGCUGUACGUGCUUGUGGCACUACUUGUAGGUACACGUGUACGUGCAUCAACUUAGGUGAACCGAGCUGAGCACGCAGCGGUGGGGCAUUGCACAAACUCCCUUAGGUGCUGAGGGAGUGUAGGACCCCCCGCCACUAACUGCUUAUUUGAUUUCAUUUUAGAUAAGGACAUUCCAAAGGUACAAUCCAAACCUUGAUAACGACGAUGAAAAAUGAAACUGGCAUAGAGUGCUCGCUACCAUUCCUGUGCAGGAUGAGACUGGAGAUAUGAGGGCAUGGCUGAGGCUGCCCGGCUGACCUGCUGGGCUGGAGCUGCUUGCAGAGGAGCACUGCCAAGGAAGGAAUCCCUUUGCAAGAGAAGAGCAGUGAUGAAUGUUGAUGCCAAUUGCUGGAGAGGCCAUGGAACACCUGCCACUGCUUUCCUCCCACCAGCCAGCAAAGGAGGAAGGCGACUCAGGGAGGUGGGUACUGUGAGUGUUCGCUUCGCUGCUCUUCAGUGGAUGCUUUGCAGGUCGUUAUUAUGGGGAUGGCGGUCCAUGUGGUCCAAUGGCUGUGCUACCUACAGCAGGGGCAGAAGCCCACUUGUGCAGCAGCACUCCAGAUCUGCCACGUUAGAAGCCCACAAAGACACAGCACCUUUCAGAAAAUGAGAGUUGUAAAGCCACAAGCGAGCAGCAUGAGCACCGUGCUCCUGAGGAAGAGAAACCUGUGUUUGGCUGUUGGUGCCUCUGGGAUGGAGGCUGGAGCCUGCCCUGAUGCAUCAAGGAAGAGUUCCCAUCCAGGCUGUGGGCAAUUGGGCACUGCCUUGGCCAGCGUGUGGCCCAACAUCAUGCUGCUGUGCCGAGGGAAUCGCUGCCCAGUGGUAACCAGAGGCAAAGAUAAGUAGCUUAUUGUUAAGAGUUCUAGACCCACAUCUCCAGUUGCCAAUGCUUUUUCUCUCUUCUCCCUGCUCAUGGCCUCUGCCUGCUUUUUCAGGCUGUGGACACACGCACUGGGAUGGGCUUUUGGUGCAGAGGUCAGUGGAUGUAGGAAUGGAGGAGAGCCAUGCACGUAGGGCAGCUACCAGUGCUGUCUCCAUCCAAGGCAAAUUCCACUCUGGAGACCUACAUCAGCAAUUCCCACCACCCCCGAGGCGCUGUCUCCUACGCUGACCAUGGGGCACCUCAGGAGAUGGCAGAACCAAGGACUGAUGUUUGGGGUUGCUUUUUUUUUUUACUAUUUUCUUCCUGACUCAUUUCCCCAACCAAUAACUUACUGCGCUCACAAGCGAAAUAAGAACAGCUCCAAUUCCUGCUGAUGUCUGUGAGCUUUGCACGUGGCUCCAAGAGAGGUGGGACUAUCGUAGAAUACCAAAGCAAGCGGAUUGCUGAGGGCUCAGGAAUGGCAGAAAUGCCCUCAUGCGUUCUGUUUGUGACACUGCUGCUAAUUGGAGUUGCUUAAUCACACAGAGAGGCAGCUUCAGAGUAGCUUUACACCAGUCCUUCAGAUGUUUCCCUUAUCUCUGAUUUUCUGUGGCCUGCUGGGCUUUUUCCUAGUUGGUUUUCUGUCACCUAGAAAUUGCUCAGAGUGUUUAUUCCUCAGGACAUUUGAGUUUUCUCCAUGAUUCAGCCACAGACUCCUUGCUUGCCUGUCAUAAGACAUUCAAUCUUUUCAUUUCUAAGGUCCCCAUCUGUAUAGAGAGGCCAGAAAUGAGAGAAAAACAGGCAUAGUAGGGCUAGCUACAUACAGAUCCUCAAGUGUUGAGGGGACAUGCAGUUUCUUAAAUGAAUUGGUCACAUGAUACCGUUUUGGGGGGGUUUAUUUUGGUUCUUUACUGGGUAAUUGAAGCUUCAUAGACAUUAGGAAUCUGAAAAAUGCAUAUCAGUUACUUAUGUACAAACAGCUUUCUCACAGCAAUCUGGGGUUCUCGUAGGGGAGAGAGCCCUUCUAUGAGCACUGCAGCAAACAACCACCUGUUUCCACAAGUGUAAUGAUUCCCACAGCUAGAAUGAAGAGUUGAUAUUCAGGAUAUACACACAGAUUUUCCAUCUCUACAUUGCAACAUUAGCUGCGAUGCCCACCAUCAAACCUUCUCCACCAAGAAACACACCUAUUUCUCUACAUUUCUAAGCUUUCCAAAUGACCACCCCCUUCUCCAUUUAAUAAGAUCUGCAUUCCUCUGGCUUAGCUUCUACUUUUGCGAUGGGCUUGGCACCCAAAGACAUGUGUUCAAGUAGUAGGAAGCCCAAGGAUGCAGGUGGAUGAACUUGGUCCUCUAGCUGCUAUCCAACAGGAGAUGCAUGGUCAUCAAACUCAGCCCCACAGCAAGUGAAAGGCUCCUGCUACAGUGAGGGGAUGUAAUUGGACCUUGUAAGCUCUGUGACAUGGGAACCAAUUACACAGAAAUCCAAGCUUUGGCAGGCAAGUCUGCACUCUGGCGCUAGCUGGUCUCCAGCAAACGGCUGCUGUACGCAUGGUAAAGGUUAAGACUCAGCUGAUGCAGAGUUGGCAGCUGCACUGAGUCCUUUGGCAUUAACAUGCCAUCUUGGGUAAGGAAGAACAAUAGAUAAGUGCCUUCUGGCAGCCCGCUUCCAUGCUCCCAUUCAGCCCGUGACAUGUUCUUUGGGGAAGCGUUACUUGAGAAAGCAAAAGAUAAAUCAGUGUAUGGUAGGAAAAUAGCAGGAAGCUUUGGCUCAAGGCAGGCAGCUGAGGGACAGCAGAGUCCAAGCUUAUCUGCCAGUUCAAUGAAAUGGCACGGUACUGUAUAUUAAGCAAGGGAAAAGAAAGUAGUGCUGGCAUGGUGAAGAGAGACUGAUGGAAAGAACUGGACUCAAGGAGGAAUGGGUGGUUCUUUCUUAUAUGUCCUUUCCUUAACUACAUGCAAUGCAGUCCAGUGAAGAUCAGAUCACUUUCCGCAACAGUGAGGGUUGAAGAUGGAUGGGCACGGCAGGUUGGUGCUGGAAGCCAAGUGAGCAGCUGGCUAAAGCCCGUAUAGUCAAGGGAGCUCAGUGCUGGCCACCCAGGGCCUGGCCAUGGAAUGACCCUCAAGCUCCUCUGCAGUGAUAAGAGCGUCACUUCCACACUGCUGCCCUCAUGCCAUAGAAUCAUAGAAUCGCCUGGGUUGAAAGGAACCACAAUGAUCAUCUCGUUUCAACCCCCCUGCUAUGUGCAGGGUUGCCAACCACCAGACCAGGCUGCCCAGAGCCACAUCCAGCCUGGUCUUGAAUGCCUCCAGGGAUGGGGUCAUUGCAGAGAAGCUGCUUUUGAGGAAAUGGGAACACCACCAACACAAACUGCUCUGGUUUGAACUGUUAAUGGACUUUCAGACACCAUGAAAGGCAGAAGGGCAGUGUGCUUGUGGCGAAAACCAUUCUCUCCUUUCUCACAGUGAGAGGGAAAGGACAGCACUAAAGAAAUGUGAUUUUGUGUUUGAAGGAAACAAUCAACCUAUUUUUCUCUCUAUAAGGGAGCAAAAUGGCCAUAGCUGCAAAUUAAUCCAGCAGUCCACAUCAGAUCCAGGAAGAAAAUAAUUUUGUUUUGUUUUCAUCACACAUUUCAGCAAUUAAGGAUUAGAAAGCAUUGGUUUUAAAAGGGAAACACUGUAAGGUUUUAUGACCUUAUAGUUAAAACCAUAUGACUGUCUGUAAAGAUAGAAAUAAGGACAUUAAGAAACUUAUAACGAGAAGAACUUAGGACUCUAGUCUCCAGGACAGCCUAAGAAUUCUGGUUCUCCGAAACUGACGUGGCUAUUGAAGCCCAAGCUUUGCCUUUCGGUCCCCCUCUUGUUCCUUGCACACCUGGAGACCUGGCCUUUGCUCUUUGCCUCUGUGUCCUGAGCAAUUUUCAUACAUUUCUGGGCUACAGUCUCUCUCUGUUUCAUAUCAGAACCUAUCUCUUCCCUUCCAUAUCUACACUUCUAUAGCAUCUCUUUUUACUGGUAUUACUUACUCCUAAUAACUGUAAUUACAUUAUGGAUCCCUGUCAAGCUUCUAGGAACAAAGCUUGGAUGAAGAAUUCUAUACAAAAUAGACCUCUAUCACAGGAAAUUUGCACCAUGGCAAAGAGACAAGGAAGUUGUUUGAUCAUUACUUUUAUCUAGAACAAAUUGCACAUAAUAGCAUAAUAAUAUUUUCUACCAGAUUCUGUUUCUCAGACAAGCACAAUUUCUUUCUCUUUUUUUUUUUUUUUGGUAAAUUAAUCUGCAUUUAACUGAAUCAUCUAUGUAUAUCUGAGUCCCCAAAAUGAGAUACUUAAAUGUGCAUUAAAAAAUAAACAAAUGAGUAAUUCACUGAAUGCAGUCCUUGUUUCACUGCCCUUGACAUAGCCCUAGAAACUCAAAACUUUCGUAUUGACUUAAGAUAAGUGCCAUAAGACCAUUAAACAAUCCAUUGUUCUUAUGGUACCCAAUAAUCUAGUCUUUUUAUUUAAAUAUGAUAGGAAGUAAUCCCAGAGCCAAUGAAAGCAUGGAACCAACUAGGUGUAACGUUCCACAAAUGCUAUAUUGCAUGGAAGAGUUCAGCUCCUUAUCUGGAAAACAGUUGGCUGUGACCCUAUUAAACAAUUAUAUAUUAUCAGUUUUACUUGGCAACAUUUAUGUGUCAAAAUGUGUCAUGGGUUUCACAGCUUAGUUCCAGAAAUAGACUGUGAUCUGGGUGACAUCAUACUUCUCAGUAAAACCCUUUUUUUCACUUUUCUUCCUUUCAUAACCACUUGUGUUCCCGGUAUUCCCAGCCCCACGCUGGGUGCGCUCAGGCCAGCAAGAUGGAACAAGCCCUUUCCACAAUUUGGCUCCAUGGCACUUCAAAUGGGUUGAACAGUUUACCAAAACAGUGCUGGUCACCUGGUGACAAACAGGAACCUUGGUGGCUCCUCUAUGGCAGAGCAGGAAAAACACGGGAACUUUGGUGAAGACUGUUUAUAGCAAUAACCACUGCGCAAUGAAGAGACACCAAAGACUAUCAAUGAUUGAAUGGGGCUGGCGGUUCACUUUGUGAUGUAAAGGGAUAAGAAUGUGUUACUGGGAGGUGCAACUCCCGUAACUCAAACAACAUCCAUGGAUGUACUGCUCAGAGCGCUUGGCCCGAGGCACAGGGGAGAUGCCGGAUGGUGAAAGAUUAGGAAAAGCUACAAGCGGGGAGAGCUGAAAGUCUCCUCUCAGAAGCUUAUUGGGAUAUUUAAGCAGUAAGCGACUGGAUUCUUAAAUGCAAAGUGGGAGAAAGUGGCAUUGUGAAACUGCAUUGCAAAAUCCUAUUAAGUCAAAGUUGCAAACAGCUACGCAACUGUCUGUUGUGUCGGAGCAGGAAGCCUGGGCACCAUUUUAAUGAGUCAUGAUCAAACAUCAUGCUGUCAUCUCAAUUUUUUCUCAAGUGCAUAUCAGGAAACAGAAAUGAAUUCUAGAGUUUUUAGCAUUCAAAGAAGAAAGUGCAUAAAGUUUUCUGCUCUCUGUAUGCUAAUCCUUUUCUUCAAAAUAUUAAGGGUGCGAUAUAAUUAAAAAUGUAAAAGGAGUUACCAUAGUAAACUCGAGGUCUUCAUGAACUAACCCACAGACCACAGCAUUUUCCUUUAUUUUGAAGCAUAACUGCAUUUUACCUCGCAAAUGUAGACAAACAUCCUCCAGGUUGUAAGCUGAAGGAAAUACGUAAGAAAGGAAAACAAAUUAAAAGAAGACAUAUGAAAAGUUUUCUCAGAAUCACUCAAGAAAAUUAACUUGAAACAACUAACCUACAUGUGGGAACAGAGUACUUCUACCACAUUAAACUGCAGGGCAACAGAACUCAAGUUUUAGCUAUUCCGGUAUUUAUUUAAUUUACUUUGGAAAUGAAUUAAGCAAUGGCGAAGUUAAGGCAUUUUCAUCACAAGCUGAAGAAAAGCUGAAUAAUGUACCUCAAGGUUUUUGAGUUUCUUUUGGAAGCUCCUUUGAGGCUCUUCAUACAAACUGCUCUUCAGUGGUCAGUCAGCACCUGGAUAUGGAGCGCUCCUGUCAGUUCCUAUAGCAGUUUGGAAGCAACAGUGGCUUUUUCUGCAACACUGAGAAGCCUAAAAUAAAGACAUAUUUAGGAAUUAAUUGUGUUUUCUCUUUCUUUACCAUUUCUUCUUUUUUUUUUCUUCAAAAGACAGAAGCAAAAUAAGAAGGAGAGAAGGGUAAAAGGGUAAAAGCACAGUGGAACUACAGAACAAACAAGAUGGCAAAAUAACAAAACUAUUUUUUAAUAAGCUGGGAAUUUGCCUCAGUAUGCAGUUCUUGGAGGAGAGGCGGCUCUGCGAGCUGGCCAGGUUCCCCACCGCACACAUAUGGACACCUGGAAGGAGAGGCAAAAUGAGCUUUACUCUUGUGCAACCCGAAGGUUACAUUUCUGUGACAAGUCUAAGUACUUCUUAUUAAGGAAAGGUUGAAAGACUGCAGAAAUGAUAAACAUCAGUUUUCAGUGGUGCAGUGAUAAACAGGCAUCAAAUAGGGAUCUUUAUUCUCCCCACAAAGAAUAACUGCUUACACCGAUGGGCUACACUGCUGGAAAGCUGUGUUUGAGAGGGGAAUCCAACAGGAGAAAAUAGAAUAUACAGAGAAAAGCACUGGAGAUGUGGAGGGAGAGCAGAGGAAAAAAAUGCUAUAAAUAAAAGCUAUUUGAAUUGAACUGUUCUUGAUCUUUAAUGAAUGAUGUUUCCUAAAGGCAAGAGAGGAACAAGAACUGUGAUGAGGGAGACAAACAUCCUCUAAAGAUCCAGGAGGUAUUUCCCAGAGUCCCAGCCCUGAGGCUGAAUGGGGACAGGGCUGGACUUGCCCAAGGAAAAGCCCAAAGUGAAGGAGAAACACUAUAAAGUGCAAAGGAGAGGAGAGGCAUCGUACUCUCACUGGGGCUGAGCAAGGGGUAGAGGAGGAUCAGGCACUAAAUGUUGCUCAUGUGUCAACUUGUUCUUCUAAACAAAGCACCUUCAAUCUGUAAUGAUUUUAGUGGCCUUUCUAAACCCCAGUUCAUAGGUUGUUAAUUCUCUAGCAUGACUUUUGUUUUUA
ensembl:lncRNA